AUGCUUGCUCAGGCAGCACAUCUAAUAAAUUGGAUUCGAUACAGAGAAGAUUAGCAUGGCCCCUGCAAAAGGAUGACACGCAAAUUCGUGAAGCGUAUCCACAUUUU
ensembl:snRNA U6 U6 spliceosomal RNA